UUGACAGAUAACAGCAGACUAGAGUCUAGAGUACAGUCAGUUCCAUUAUUUUCUCAGUGAUAGUUAAUUUAUUAAAUAACCAAUACAUAAAGUGUAUCUAUAACUUAAUAAAUAAUCAAAAAUGAUAUUGUUCUGAUAUAAUAGUAUUAAAAAAAAUUAUUUGUAAACCAAUAAGUACCUAAUUUGCUAGUGAGACCCGUGUCGAAUUGUUUUACGGCAAAUUCAUUGAAGCAAACUAGAAGGGAUUUGUUUUCGAAUUCCAUACGAGUCAUAGAUGUUUACCUUUUAUGCUAACGGAAGUGUUCUACAUUUUCCUUGAAAUAUUUUGUUUAAUCUAUAGUGUGAGUCUCAGCUAGUAUCGAAAUUGGUUAAUGGAUGGGCACAAUUUGUGAUCCAUUGACAAAAGGACAGCUAAUGGAUCCAAGUUACUGAUACCAACUUAUUCGGCUAUUGUUCAUAAUUUAGAUCUACAAUGGGGAAGUUUUCGGGUAAGAAGUGUCGUUUACUGUCCAUGCUAUGGUUAACAGGGACAUUUUUCUUUGUGGAGCUCAUAGUCGGUUAUGUUACGAACUCUAUGGCAUUGGUCGCUGAUUCCUUCCACAUGUUGAGUGAUGUCGCAGCUCUUGUUAUUGCAUUUUUAUCUGUUAAGAUGUCACCAAAGAAAUGGUCGAAGAAUACCUUUGGUUGGGCGCGUGCGGAAGUUUUGGGGGCUCUUGUGAAUGCUGUGUUCCUGGUAGCGCUGUGCUUCAGCAUCACAGUGGAGGCUGUGCAGAGAUUCAUCCGAGCUGAGAUGAUACAUAACGCUCAGCUGCUUGUAGCCGUCGGCACUUUAGGACUUGUUCUCAAUAUCAUUGGACUGUUUCUGUUCCACGAGCACGGUAGUAGCCAUGGUCAUAGCCACGGGGUGGUGCCACCUCCAUCCAACGUCCGCCACCUGUCGGAGCUGGUGAACAGCAACGUGGAUAUGGCACUGGGGCAUGCUACCACCGACACUGAGGAGACAGACGAGAUGGUACCACCGAAAGUGGUCAAGAUACCAAACGACCAAACACCCAAGACACACUCAGACCCUGGCAAUCUGAACAUGAAGGGUGUCUUCCUGCACGUGCUGUCUGAUGCGUUGGGUUCCUUAAUAGUCGUCAGCUCAGCGCUCGUGGUGUGGCUGACUGAGUGGCGAUACAAGUACUACAUCGACCCGGCACUCAGUAUAGUGCUGGUUAUUCUGAUACUGGCAUCAGUCUGGCCGCUGUUGAGGGAAUCAGCUCUCAUACUGCUGCAGACAGUGCCGACACAUAUACAGGUGGAUGCCAUCCAAAGACGUCUCCUGGAGAAGGUGGACGGUGUGCUGGCGGUGCACGAGUUUCACGUCUGGCAGUUAGCUGGAGAUAGAAUUAUAGCCAGCGCUCACAUACGGUGUAGGAACCUGUCGGAGUACAUGAAAAUAGCUGAGAAAGUUAAGGAGUUCUUCCACAACGAGGGCAUACACUCGACCACCAUACAGCCGGAGUUUGUGGAACUGCCGCUGGAUGGGAACGAGAUCACUAGCGGGGCUUCAGCGGAGGCCCCGUGUGCCUUACAUUGCCCCCCCAACGACCUCUGUCACAACGCUACUUGCUGUGGACCACAUCAGGAGAAUCAAUGGGGUCCAGAUGUAGAUACAACGAGACCUAGAAACAGAGCACCCCCUAUUUAUGUCGUCAGAGAAACAUGGGAUCGCGAGCAGAGCCUUUGAACUCUGACCUCGAUAGCUCCGGGAAUCCCACCGCUAGGAAUCUUGACGCUUUGGAAUGCGGAUCACUGUUGCCUUUCCCGAUGCUAGAAGGACGUUUGACAGCUUGACGGACAGCCGCUUAAUUUUUCGCGACCAAAACAAAUAUAAAAAAAAAAAAAUUCACGACAUUAAAUUAAUUUCAUUUUUAAUCAGUUACAUUAAUUAAAUUAAUGAUAAAUUUUGUUACAGCCAAAUAAAUAUAGCUUUGUUUUGUGACGUUCGACUGGUGAUACGGUGAAAUGUCCGUGUCAAUGUCAAUGUCAAUGUCAAGCGGAUGUGUUGUUAGUGUAGGCUUUCGCGGUUUAUAUAAAAGAGAUUGUUGAAAACGCCUUAUCCGAUAGACAAUCGGACGGCGGCUGUCGUUUAAGUCUUCAAGACAAUCGUGUCAGGGUUGCUAGUUAUAAAAUAAAUGAUUAAUGUUGUAAGUUAAAUUAUCAUCCAAGCAAAUAAUAUCCAAAUAUAUGUGAAUGCGUCAACAUGGAAAUACAGUCGCGUGUAUUAUAUAUGAAUAAUGGAAAUAAUUAUCACUCUAAACACGAAUCUACACCGAUAGACUGAACUCGCGGGGUUGCCAGUUCAUCGUUCAUAGAUCUCCACAUAAGUUAUUCUGGUAGAUGUGAAUGAAAAGCUUUAAACUCUCCGUAUUAAGUUUAUCGAUGAAAAUUUACAAUAAGUGUCAGAAUAUAAAAAUAUAUUUACUGCAACAAUAUUAUAUUUAUAUGAGCGGAUCAUCGCAAUUAUAAUAAAAUAAUCUCAAAGUACAACAACAAUACGACUCGUGUCGGUUUUCUGGAUUAAAUCCGUUCGUUGGAACAGAAGAAAAUCGAUAAUCUAUAGAAUUAUCGAUUUUUUUUCAUAUGACAGGUUGUACGCGCUUAAUGAGAAUUGCAGUAUUGACAUAACAUAUAUAGGAAGACAGCAAUUCGUGGUCUAUUUUGACGUCGCAACGUACAAGGCACUGUCCACAACGUACGAUCGUGUAUUUGAUAUUGAUUUUCCCUUAAAAGAUAAGUUCGUGGACACCAAACCUUUAUACGAAGAUAUAACUAAUAGGAAUUAACUAUGUGUUGACAUGAUUCCUCAUAGUUAUAAUUAUAUAUUAGCAUGUAAAUUAGUAUAAACUAAAAAUAUUCUCAUAGAAGAUCAGCAUCCUUAGUACAUACAUUCAUAAGCCAUAGUUGAUACCACAUUUCCGAAGUUUUAAGAAUUUAAACUUUAAAACGCUCCGUAUUGAGUUUGACUGUGUAACUUUAUGGUAAAAUUACUGUGCCCUUACACAUGUCUUCAUUCAUAAAUAUCCGAAAAUUAUAGGUACUAUCAAAGUAUCUGAAUUACUACAAAUAGUUUGUUUAGUCUAAACUUGUAGUAAAUUUACGUGAACGGAAGAGACGUUUCUUUCGUUAAAAUUUUUAGUUGUAAUUUUUAUACAGCGUGUUCUCUGCAUAAACAUAAUUAAUAAUUAUAGCAUUUAGCGCCAAUAACUUUAGCGUAUUUUCUACAAUACAUAUACUUUAGUUAACAAUAAUUUAAGUAUAAUCGUGUGAUCAUAAAACAAACUACCUUUUGAUAGCAAAGCAAUAAAUAAUAUAUAAGUCAGGUCAGUAUAGAGUUACACCGCCUUUAUAUACAACCACCGUUAUUGUACACUAUACAAACGUGAGAAGAUUUUUUUUAUCGUCAGAGCUGGCUUAGCAACGAUUUACUGUUUUUGAGCACAGAUUAUGUCACUGCUCGUUUGAAUCUUAUGAUAUGUAAGUCCAAUUUAAGAUUUCUAUCGAAUUUCAGUACCACGGAAAUCAUGAAGCGAUUUACGCUGAUUGUUUUCAUUCACAACAUUAUAAAAUAAAAUAUACUUAAAAAAAAAAAUGUGAUAAUUUAUCCUCGUUUAGUUCGGUUUUAGCGGAAUUUAGAUGUACGGGUAACAGUAGAUAGUGAAUCAAAAAUUAUGUGCAGUUCGUCCAGAAAUUAUCGUCGAAAACUUAGCUUCGUAUGCGAGCUGGUUUUAAAUGACAUCGCAGUAAGUGGAAGCUGUUCAAUAACACAAACUGUCUUUGUAAACAUCGAUCGUGAAAAUUAAAAAUAUGUUUUUUUUUUUUAAUUAUUUAUUUACUAAAAACAUUGUUAAUAUAAAUCAACUAAAAAUAGGUUUAAAUGGCAUAAUUAAAUUAACUAAAUUAACUUAAUGUAUAUGUUAUAUUAUUUUACUAACUUCUGUAUCUAUGUGCUGUUAGUUUUAACUGUUUUUUUUUUUAACCGUUCGACCCUUGCUACUUCGGUUAAAUAUAUUUAAAUAAAAGAUAAGAUUAUUUAAAAUUUUAGUGAAAAAAUAUCUUUUCGUCCAUAAAUAAGGCUUGUAAAAAUCACGUCUAUUUUAUAUAUUAGAUAUAACUGAUGAAGUAUGCAAUGAUUGUGAAAUGUUUGAUUACAAUUAACGGAGCAAUUGAAAUCUGUAUUAGAAUCGAUAUAACGAGACCGCCAUAGCUAAAGAACGCACAAGGACAGAAUUUUUCAUUCACUUCACUAACUAGUAUUUGAAGUCAAAUUUCACCGACACUUCAAAGAUUUUACAAUAGAAGCUAGCACAAAGAGGCUUGCAAAAUAACUUGCAAAUUAACUUUUCAUUUACGGCUGUGAAAGGCUUCACUUUCGCCUUCACUCAUUAGUAUAAAAAAAAAUAUAUGAAUUUAAUAGCUAAUUAGAUUAAAGAAAUAAGUUAAUGUUAUAACAAAAUUAUAGUAUUAAAUUCUCAGUGCUCAAUAUAUAAACAUGUUUGUUUGUGUCCGGGCGCGGUAUUAAUUUUAUCUCAGCCAAUAAUUACUGCUAUUAAAAAAUAAUUCUUAUUUAUAGUGAAAUCUAAACUAAUAUUGAAAAUUGUUAAUCUUGGUUCGUAUGUUAGUGAAUUGUGGAAAUGUAUUUUCACGGUUAAUAAAAACGUGCGAUUUGAA